ACGGGUGAGUAAUGUCUGGGAAACUGCCUGAUGGAGGGGGAUAACUACUGGAAACGGUAGCUAAUACCGCAUAACGUCGCAAGACCAAAGAGGGGGACCUUCGGGCCUCUUGCCAUCAGAUGUGCCCAGAUGGGAUUAGCUAGUAGGUGGGGUAACGGCUCACCUAGGCGACGAUCCCUAGCUGGUCUGAGAGGAUGACCAGCCACACUGGAACUGAGACACGGUCUAGACUCCUACGGGAGGCAGCAGUGGGGAAUAUUGCACAAUGGGCGCAAGCCUGAUGCAGCCAUGCCGCGUGUAUGAAGAAGGCCUUCGGGUUGUAAAGUACUUUCAGCGGGGAGGAAGGCGAUAAGGUUAAUAACCUUGUCGAUUGACGUUACCCGCAGAAGAAGCACCGGCUAACUCCGUGCCAGCAGCCGCGGUAAUACGGAGGGUGCAAGCGUUAAUCGGAAUUACUGGGCGUAAAGCGCACGCAGGCGGUCUGUCAAGUCGGAUGUGAAAUCCCCGGGCUCAACCUGGGAACUGCAUUCGAAACUGGCAGGCUAGAGUCUUGUAGAGGGGGGUAGAAUUCCAGGUGUAGCG
rnacentral:rRNA from 1 species